GAUGAACGCUGGCGGCGUGCCUAAUACAUGCAAGUCGAGCGAACGGACGAGAAGCUUGCUUCUCUGAUGUUAGCGGCGGACGGGUGAGUAACACGUGGAUAACCUACCUAUAAGACUGGGAUAACUUCGGGAAACCGGAGCCAAUACCGGAUAAUAUUUUGAACCGCAUGGUUCAAAAGUGAAAGACGGUCUUGCUGUCACAUAUAGAUGGAUCCGCGCUGCAUUAGCUAGUUGGUAAGGUAACGGCUUACCAAGGCAACGAUGCAUAGCCGACCUGAGAGGGUGAUCGGCCACACUGGAACUGAGACACGGUCCAGACUCCUACGGGAGGCAGCAGUAGGGAAUCUUCCGCAAUGGGCGAAAGCCUGACGGAGCAACGCCGCGUGAGUGAUGAAGGUCUUCGGAUCGUAAAACUCUGUUAUUAGGGAAGAACAUAUGUGUAAGUAACUGUGCACAUCUUGACGGUACCUAAUCAGAAAGCCACGGCUAACUACGUG
rnacentral:rRNA from 1 species